CCCAGACUGACCUUCCUGCCAACCCGCCGGGCAGCAGAUGCUGUGCCCCUGCCCUGGCCUUGAGUCACGGCAGCAGGAGACAGGAGGCAGGGGCACGGGCAGGCCCAGACCCCUCCCACCUCGGUGAUCGAUGGGGGCUGAGAGUCACCUGCCCUGUGCCCCCAGCUGGGGUCCCUCUGGCCUGGGUCUCUGCUUAAGGGCCAUAUCUGUCAUGGUUAGCUAUUUGGAGACAAGUUGCACUGUUGUGCAGCUGGGAGUGAGGGGUCCCCUGGAGCUCAGCUGGGCCCCUGCCCCAGGGGAAGGGCGGGGCCCAGCUCCAGGCUUUUGUCCUGUGGCUCUCCUGGGGGGACAUUUUCAGGGAAUGUAAACCCACGGAGACUCAGGAUGUUCCUGCCAGCUGCAGAGGGUGAUGGGGUCCACUAGGGGCCCAGGCUCCUUCUUGCAGGGCGUCAGGUAUCCCCCACAGUGAGGUCAGGGCUGGGAUGCCUAGUCACUUGCUGGCCCCUGCUCCUAGCUCCAUCUGGGCCUGCUGUGUGAUGUGACCAGACUCCGGAGCCCCCAGGUGGGCAACGGAGCCCUCUGCGUGCAUCUCCUGAUGUGACGGUCAGUCCCCUCGGAGUAGCUGCUCUUAACCACCCCAGCUUCAUGGAUGAGAGGUUGAGGAUCAGAGAGGCCAGCUGCACGGGGUGACAUGGCCCUGUCCCUGCCAGGUGACACCACUGGUCAGGAAAGCUCUUGCUGCCACCUCACAGGGCCGAGGAUUCCCUGACCUGCAUCCCAAUCCAGGAGGGCACUGCCCCACGCUCUCCAGUCAACACUGACCCUGGUGUCCUCAGCCAGGUCCCAGCUCCAGCUCCAUGAAAUCGAGCUCUGGAAGGAGCUGGGGAGGUUACUGGGUCCCCCAGGAGGCUGGCACAGACUGGGGGUCUCCCCCUCCCCGGGCUGCUCAGAGCCCCCUCCUGGCCCACCCAGCUGGAGGGACGCAGCCCAGCCCGUGGGAGGCCUGCUCCGGGAAUUCCCCAGACCUGGCACCAGGCUCCGCUGCCCGGGCCGUGCUGUGUCCAGGGCGCUCGGGCCCUCCUGUCUCUGACAGCUGCGGGGUGGCCUGUGGGGAGCGAUGGGGCCACCUCAGGUCUCUUACUCAGUACCUCCUCAGAGAGGUCUUCCCUGACCACCCACCCACACAGCCCUUCAUGUGGCCAUGACCCUUCGACCCCCCCCCCCGGGCUGGGUGCAGCUCGGAGGCAGAGUACCCGCCUGACCCGAAGACUGCAUAAGGACACAGACCACACCCUUCCAGCAGGCACUGCUGACCACCUCGGCCAACGCAAGCUCCGCAACGUAGCGGGCGGCCUGCACCCUGUGGGUUGAGCGACAGCCCUGGC
rnacentral:lncRNA from 1 species